AAUAAAUAAACAUGAAAAAAAUUAAAACAAACAAAAAACCCCACAAAAAAAACCCAAAAUGUGGUGUCUGUAUACAAUGGAAUAUUAUUCAGUCUUCAAGAAGAAGGAGAUUUCUGACCCAUGCUAAAAGAUGGGUGAAACUUAAGGACAUUAUGCUAAGUGAAAUAAACCAGUUUCAUAAAAAGAUAAAUACUGUAUAAUUCCACUUAUAGAAGGUAUUUACAGCUGUCAAAUUCAUAGACACAGAAAGUAGAAAGGUGGUUGCCAGGGGCUGGGAGUGGAUGUAGAAUGAGGAGCUGCCAUUUAAUGGGUACAGAGUUGUAGUUUUGCAAGAUGAAAAAGUGUCGGAGAUCGGUUGCACAGCAACAUGAUAUACUUAACGCUACUGAACUGUACAGUUAAAGGUGGGUAAGAUUAUAAAUUUUAUGUUGCAAGUAUUUUAUCACAAUUUAAAAAAAUGAGUACACAAAAGAUUGAAUUUCAGGUAAACAAAGAAUAAUUUUUGGCAUAAGUGUGUCCUGUGCAAUGUUUGGAACAUGUUUACACUUAAAAAGUUGUUUGUUAUGCAUCUGAAGUUCAAAUUUAACUGGGUGUCCUGUAUUUUACCAGGGAAUCUCAGUUUGGAUACACACUCUGAAAUCCAAUGCUUCCUUUUUGCCCUGGCUGACAGGAAGCCUCAAUGCCUGGCUGCAGGAAGCAGUUUAUCUCAGGAGCAGAAACAGGCGAUGGAAAAGAGGCUCCUGAUGAAUCUUGAAGCACCAUGCAGUUCCAGUGACUGGCACUUUGUCACCCCUUAGCAGGAGGCACCCGCCACUUUCUGCUCAAAACUCCACCAUUAUUGAGGGAGGUGAACAAAGCAGGAGCAGCCACCAUGAACCCAGAGGUGGAAGCUGCAUGUUGAGGAUGGCCGAACUAUCCUGCCAGCCCUGGACUGCUUCCCUCUGGAUUAUUAUAUGAAAGGAGACCACAUUUUCAUCUUAAGUCACUUAAUUUGGUGAUUCUUUGUUACAGCAGCUGAACCUAUACCCUGCUUGAUUAAUUACUAGUCUUUUAAGAAGGGCUGACCCACCUGCUAUUCUUUCUGGCUCUCAAAUAUGUUGCCAACAUGCAAACAUGAACUUUUUGCUCCUUAUUGAUCUAUUUUUGCUCGGGGUCUUUAUCAAUCAGUCUUUAAAUUAUUGGCUCAGUGUUGCUGUCCUCAAUUUCUCUCCCUGGAAUCUUUGGACCUUCUCUUUCAGAAUGCUCCCCUUGGUUUUCUUCUAGGAAUUAUGGCUUAGCCAAUCUGACCAAUCUGUGAGCCAUUGCCUUGAAUAGAAAAUCCCUAGGAAAUCACUCAGAAGCCAGGCAUUUGGCAAGGGCUAGGCUGGGUGAUCUCCAUUCUUUUUACCUCAAGGAAUGGCAUGGAGGGAAUUAGCUGAAUGAACUAAUGAAUGACUGGAGUGUAGCAAUCAAUUCCAGUCAUCCAAAAUUAUUUCUAAAUGCCAGGGUUUUCCUCUUUCCACAUCCCAACUGAUUCAAGACUAAAUGUUUUUCCUAUGAUGAGUCAGUUUCAUGAGACCCAGUUUAUGGUUGAGGAACUUGAGGGAGAGCAAAGCAAAGUGGUAAAUAUAAUUAACUAGGGGGCAAGAAAUUACAUCUAGUCUUCAUAGCGCGCUGGAUCACACAGGUGUUUACCGACUCAUGCUGCCUCUCUCUGAGCAAAUCUCCAUCUAAUGUGCUGGGAGAGCAGGCAUAUGGGCUGAGUAAUUAUAAAUGCCUUUCAGAAGUACGGUGCUUAAAAUAAUUUCCUCUUAUAGUUUUUCAUAACACCGGGUGUUUGUCUUUUUAAUUCUUGCAGAAGGCAGUGAGGGCUAAGAUCACACAUGUUUUCAGAAGAAUGAGCCUGCAACAGCAUCCUACUUUGCUGGCAGGUAAGAGCCCCAAACGCUCACCUUGAGUGGGAAGAAAAGGGCAUUACAUUGAUCCGGCCUCAAGGCAAGAGCCCGUCUGGCCUGUGCCCGUGAACAGAGAAUGGGAAUAGAACAUUCUGUCUCUUGUGGCCUGAUAGCUGCUGGAGAAAAGGAUUCACCAUGGUGAAUACAACUCUCUUUUUCAGGCAGAAUAAAUGAAGUGUAACUAGAAUUGAGGCUUCUCUUCUCACUGCUUAGCAUCUUUAAUCUACUAGCCGGCAAGAUGUCUGAGGAGCAGAAAAUAUAAUUUUGUCCAAUUUUACUGAACUACAGUCUUUCCUCAUCUUGAAAAAAAAAUAAUAAUAAAGUACUCUAAUUCUUAAGUAUUUCUGGAGUCGACAUGAAUCUAGCCGAGGUAGAAUUUCCAUAUUUUAUGUGCACCAUGAAAAUCAGCCUUUAAGCUUAAUGGAAGCUUUGGGCUCACUGUAAAAUCCAGAGAGCAGGAAGCAGGGCAGGUUAGGGAGAGUCAGGGUGAGAGCUUUGAUACUUGCCUGUGCGGUCUGUGGGCUAAUAAAGGUCAACCAAACUUGAUCUACACACUCAUCUCAAAGAGUCCAAUGAAGCACAUGUGGGCUUGAAAGAUUGGAGCCGCUUUGCUCUUGGGUGAAUAUGCAUUUUCUGCAGCCAGAUUAAGGAUUCAUUUUGUCCUUGACACAGCACGAAAUUCAAUCUGCGCCUACUUACCCUACAGACAACAGCCUGCCGGGGGUCGUGCUAAGAUUUUAUAAUAGUACAGGCAACAGCCUUCGCUAGCAACAUAAACAUUUGGGAAAUUGUAUUUCAGAAUCUCUUCUCCCUCCUCUUUCUCCCAGCCCCAACCCGUCAUGCAAUUCUGGUUCAGUGAAAUGCAGCAUUUAAUAUUUUGGAAAUAAUUUUCGAACAGAUGGGGAAGAGGCAGGAGGGCAGCAUCUAAUGCUGGCCUUGAUGAUCUCUCUGCCUCCCUUCCGUUCUCAACAAAACAUCUCAAGCAGUGAAUGUUUUUCCUUUGAAGGAAAAAAAAAAAAAGCACGAAAGUGUUUUCAAAUCCACUCGUUUUUCUUUGCAAUCUUCCUAAGUUGAGAUCUUUCCUGUGGCACGGGAAGCUUAUUCCGGAUCUGACUACUAGGAGACCUCGGAGAGAAGCUAGGGUUGUUUAAGGAGGGAGGAGGGGAAAAACCAGCUUUCUGCCCUCAGCCAAAUGAGGCUCAGAACCUUUGUUUCUGCGGAACCAGUAGGGUGAUUCUUCACACUCUCUUUAUUGAACUACAAAUAUCUUUCCAGAUGAACACACUCCUAAUCUAAUUAGCUGUAAACAGGCCUCUCGGGUGCCACACUGCUUAACUAGAGGAUGGCAAGAAGGGCGGAGAAGAAGAGGCUGUGGCAGGAAAGAUACCCACCACUGUGGAUUCCUUUCCAUAGGCACAGUUGGGAUGGGGUGAUGUAUUUGCAGCAGUGUUUUCUGCUUUUAGGGAAGCAAAGGCCAAGAAAUGUUGAAGCCUCAUAAAGGGCAGAAUUAUGAAACAAUGAGUAAUUGGGUUUCUACAGCACUUCCCUCUCUUUCCAGAUGAUAUGAUGUAUUCCUUGGCACAGGAGAGAAAGCCAGGGCACCAAAAACGUGGGGUCCUGAAGGGUUUGGUUGAUGGUACCUAUUCCCACUGUCGAACCCUGAGGACACACAGCUGGGUGUAUGCCACAGUUCCUUACCCGAGGAACCUUGAGAUUCAAGCAUCAGUCACACGCCUUCCUCUAGCUUCUGGUAAAAUCCCAUCUUCCUUUUUGUUCCCUAGCCUUGGUGUCAGCAAUGAUUAAUCUCUUCAGAAACUGCCUUUGAGUUCUAAUACCUAUGUAAUCAGUUGUGUGUAUGAAAUGCAACUCCAGUGUAGCCAGUCUCCUGCAUUAAAUCCCUUCGGUUGGAAUGCUUUUAUUUUCCUGAUUGGUCCCUGUUAAAUGUUGACUCUGACGCUGACUAGAAACCCAAGGCUCCAUCUGCUGAAUUAGCCAAAAGUUUGGGGGCUCUCUUCCUUGUGGUGACAUUACUAAAAGACUCUCAAAUAGUUAGACCCAUGGGCAGAGGGUGCGUUCUCAGUGGACACUCUCUUGGGGAAUCUCACACAUUCUAAUAUGCUCUGGAAAUCUUGGGUUGAGAGGCUAGUCCACACUGUGCUGAAGGAUUCCCAUUUUACCCUAAAACAUUUUAUCUUAGAGUACCUCUUUCCUGGCAUUUAUAGAUGUAAAGAAUUUGGAAAACCACUGCAGUACUCCACAACCACAUCUUUCUUUUGUAAAUCCUCAAAAUUUGGACAUUAGAAGCAGUAGGAAAACUGUGACAAUGGUUCUCAAAAUACAGUCUGGGGGGAUCACUGGGGACCUUUGAGACCCUCACCAGGAGUUCAUGAGCACACUAUUUUCAUCAUAAUACUGAGACUUGAUUUGCCCUUUUCACUUUCACUUUUAUUUCACUCAUGAGGGUACAGGGUAGUUUUCAAGAGGCUACAUCCAUAUAUAUUAAAACAGAUUGAAGAGGGAAGCAGAUAUAGGGAUCCAGCUGUCUAUAGGCAGAUAUCAAAGAGAUUCACAAAAAUGGGAAAGAAAACUACUCU